AAUAGGUAGGGUUGUCGAGCUCGAAGCAACCACGCAGCCUGAAAACGGUCCAUCACCUCGGCUCGUCUUCUUCCGUCUUCUACCUCUUACCUACUGCGACAAAUUGCAUAAUGGCUUCUCUGUGGAGCCAACCCCACUCGGCCAACAGCAUCAAUAUAUCGCUGCGGAGACGCGUAAGUCUUCACUUCCGCUCGCUGCACCGUCGUUCUUUCUCCAUUCCUCCUAACUCUGCUGGUUCUCGUCCUCUGAAAACCUACGGUAAUCCUCAAAUUAUAAAUUUGAGGCGCCUGCACCAAUUCUCCAAGAGUUUUAAUUUUUUUAAAGUAAAGUCCUCUCCAACCUUCCGUCUUUUCUGCGCUGCCCUGCCGGCCAAAGUCUUGGCGCCUGAGAGCCUCCAACAAGAUGUAGAAUCAACUUUUAAACGUGCAAAUAAAGGCCGCAUCUACCAGGAGACGUAUGGAUGUCAGAUGAAUGUUAAUGAUAUGGAGAUUGUGCUGUCUAUCAUGAAGAAAGAUGGAUAUACAGAAAUUGUUGAAGCCCCAGAGAAUGCAGAGGUCAUCUUUAUCAACACAUGUGCCAUCAGAGACAAUGCUGAGCAAAAGGUAUGGCAGAGACUCAACUACUUCUGGUUUCUAAAAAGAGAGUGGAAGACUAAUGUUGCUAAUGGAAGGUGUACCUCUCUGCAUCCUCCAAAGGUGGUCGUUUUGGGAUGCAUGGCUGAGAGGUUGAAGGAGAAAAUACUUGAUGCAGAAAAAAUGGUAGAUGUGGUUUGUGGACCAGAUGCUUACAGAGACUUACCUCGUUUAUUGGAAGAGGUUGAGUAUGGUCACAAGGGAAUAAACACAUUACUUUCCCUGGAGGAAACUUAUGCUGAUAUUAGUCCUGUAAGAAUUUCAAGCAACACUAUUUCAGCUUUUGUAUCAAUAAUGAGGGGAUGCAAUAAUAUGUGUUCCUUUUGUAUUGUUCCAUUUACUAGAGGAAGGGAGAGAUCUCGUCGAGUAGAAUCAAUUGUGAGAGAGGUAGGCGAGUUACAUGAACAAGGAGUGAAGGAAGUAAUGCUUCUUGGACAGAAUGUUAACAGUUACAACGAUCUUUCCGCAGUUAAAGAUGUUGAACCAGGAUCUAGCUGGGAAUUAAGUGAAGGAUUCUCUAACAACUGCAGAGUGAGAAACAAGGGCUUAAGGUUUUCUGAUCUCUUGGAUCAACUAUCAAUGAAAUUUCCAGAGAUGCGCUUCAGAUAUACAUCGCCGCACCCGAAGGAUUUUCCUGAUGAAUUACUAUAUAUAAUGAGGGAUAGAUAUAAUAUAUGCAAAAACAUUCAUCUACCUGCUCAAACAGGGAGCACCACUGUACUCCAGAGAAUGCGACGAGGUUAUACGAGGGAAGCAUAUUUGGACCUUGUGAAAAAAAUACGUUCAAUCAUUCCAGAUGUUGGGAUUAGCAGUGAUUUUAUAUGUGGUUUCUGUGGUGAAACAGAAGAUGAGCAUGCAGAUACGCUAAGCCUCAUGAAGGCUGUUGGCUAUGAUAAUGCUUACAUGUUUGCAUACAGCUUGAGAGAGAAAACGCAUGCUCACAGGAACUAUGCCGAUGAUGUGCCAGAAAAUGUGAAGCAAAGACGACUCACCGAGAUUAUUGAGGCCUUUAGGGAGAGCAAAGGGCAGUGCUUUGAUUCACAGAUUGGGACCAUUCAGCUUAUUCUUGUAGAAGGACCUAAUAAGAGGCAUCCUGAAACUGAAUUGACAGGAAAGAGUGAUAGAGGCCACAGAGUCUCCUUUCCUUGCAUGCCUCUUCGGCAUUCCUCGGCAGCUGAUGUUGAAUUAAGGAAACCAGUGGCUGGCGAUUUUGUCGAAGUUCGCAUUUUGAAAUCAACGCAGGCUUCGUUAUCUGGGGAAGCAUUGGCAAGGACAAGCUUGAGUGAAUUCUACGGACCUGGUUCAUCUUCAAGUUCUGACAAUGCAUUAGAAGUUGGUGCUGCUGGAAAUUUAUGAGAUUUAAUGAACUGUAGAUGCCGGGCUUUGCUCUUCAUGGAUAAGUGACUGAAGAUGAUGAGUUAAGGUCUAAAUUCAACGAUGAUUGGUCGACAUAUUCCUUUAUAUACCGUGGUUUGUGAUGUCAUCCUCUAUUGAUUUAUUGAUCGGGAGUUAUAAGGAGUUAAAUAUUGUGCUGAUGGGUAGGAGUGACGACUCCAUUUAUUGAAAAUCAAUUGUUACUGGAAAAACACCACACAAAUCAGAACUCCUUGUUUAAUAUGAUUGUUAGACAUGAUUUAUUGUAAUGUUAUUACUGAUUUACUGUUACCAAGGACACAAUUCAUAUAUUAUUGAACA